AUCGAUGAAGAACGCAGCGAAAUGCGAUAAGUAAUGUGAAUUGCAGAAUUCAGUGAAUCAUCGAAUCUUUGAACGCACAUUGCGCCCCUUGGUAUUCCGGGGGGCAUGCCUGUUCGAGCGUCAUUAUAACCCCUCAAGCUCAGCUUGGUGUUGGGGCCUGCCAACUGGCAGCCCUUAAAAUCAGUGGCGGCGCCAUCUGGCUCUAAGCGUAGUAAUUUCUCUCGCUAUAGGGUCCCGGUGGACGCUGGCCAGCAACCCCCAAUUUUUUAAUGGUUGACCUCGGAUCAGGUAGGGAUACCCGCUGAACUUAAGCAUAUCAAUAAGCGGAGGAAAAGAAACCAACAGGGAUUACCUCAGUAACGGCGAGUGAAGCGGUAACAGCUCAAAUUUGAAAUCUGGCUCUUUCAGGGUCCGAGUUGUAAUUUGUAGAAGAUGCUUCGGGUGUGGCUCCGGUCUAAGUUCCUUGGAACAGGACGUCAUAGAGGGUGAGAAUCCCGUAUGUGACUGGUUGCCUUCGCCCAUGUGAAGCUCUUUCGACGAGUCGAGUUGUUUGGGAAUGCAGCUCAAAAUGGGUGGUAAAUUUCAUCUAAAGCUAAAUAUUGGCCAGAGACCGAUAGCGCACAAGUAGAGUGAUCGAAAGAUGAAAAGCACUUUGGAAAGAGAGUUAAACAGUACGUGAAAUUGUUGAAAGGGAAGCGCUUGCAACCAGACUUGCACGCAGUUGAUCAUCCGGUGUUCUCACCGGUGCACUCUGCUGCGUUCAGGCCAGCAUCGGUUUUGGUGGUUGGAUAAAGGCCUUGGGAAUGUGGCUCCUCUCGGGGAGUGUUAUAGCCCUCGGUGCAAUGCAGCCUACCGGGACCGAGGACCGCGCUUCGGCUAGGAUGCUGGCGUAAUGGUUGUAAGCGACCCGUCUUGAAACACGG
rnacentral:rRNA from 1 species